rnacentral:misc_RNA from 1 species
UACGAGGGGCCCAAGCGUUAAUCGGAAUCACUGGGCUUAAAGGGUGCGCAGGCGGGCCUGCAGGCGUCUUGUGAAAUCCCCCGGCUCAACCGGGGAAUUGCAGGGCGAACCGCAGGUCUUGAGGAAGGCAGAGGCGGGUGGAACCAUAGGUGGAGCGGUGGAAUGCGUAGAGAUCUAUGGGAACGCCGAAGGUGAAGACAGCCCGCUGGGCCUUUCCUGACGCUCAGGCACGAAAGCGUGGGGAGCAAACAGG